rnacentral:rRNA from 1 species
AUUGAACGCUGGCGGCAUGCCUUACACAUGCAAGUCGAACGGCAGCACGGGGGCAACCCUGGUGGCGAGUGGCGAACGGGUGAGUAAUACAUCGGAACGUGCCCCGUAGCGGGGGAUAACCAGUCGAAAGAUUGGCUAAUACCGCAUACGCUCUACGGAGGAAAGCAGGGGACCGCAAGGCCUUGCACUAUGGGAGCGGCCGAUGUCGGAUUAGCUAGUUGGUGAGGUAAAGGCUCACCAAGGCAACGAUCCGUAGCUGGUCUGAGAGGAUGAUCAGCACCACUGGAACUGAGACACGGUCCAGACUCCUACGGGAGGCAGCAGUGGGGAAUAUUGGACAAUGGGCGAAAGCCUGAUCCAGCCAUGCCGCGUGAGUGAAGAAGGCCCUCGGGUUGUAAAGCUCUUUUGUUGGGAAAGAAAACUUAUCGGUUAAUACCCGGUGAGAAUGACGGUACCCAAAGAAUAAGCACCGGCUAACUUCGUGCCAGCCGCCGCAGUAA